UGGCUCCUGUGUUUGGAGAGAAGCGUCCAAGGAUGCUUCCAUUCUGGUUGUGGGCGGGGCUUCUGUCAGAAGUCAUACGAUGUCGUGUGAUAGCAGGUGUGGGGCUCUGUCCACAAAGCAGGCUGUAAGCACCCUAGGACAUUUGAUUUGGUCAGUGUGAUGAGGUUCUUAGAGAACUUCUAUCACACUGGCUUUCUAUCAACUGGAUUAUUUCCAACCUGCUUCUGAGAUUAAUUGAAGGGGCUGGUUUUGACCUACAACACCCUAAACAGCUUGGUACCAGGAUAUGGGGAAAAUCUCCUCCUCUGAUAUGAAUUUGACUCAAAUUUGAGAUCCCCAACAGAGGUCUGAAGAGACUAGAUUAAUUAAUACACAAAACAGGGUUUUCUGUUUAGUGGGGCUUGUGAUGUGGAAGUCCCUCCUAGAGAAGUCAAGCAGGUAUCUUCCCUCUGGAGCAGCCCGAAGGUACUCAAGAAGAUGGCCUUGUUUUGUAUAGCCUAUGGUGAUUAAAAUCAGGACAGUCUUUUCUGAUUGUUUUAGGUGUGUGUGUGUGUGUAUGUGUAUGUGUGUGUGUGUAUAUAUAUAUCUCAAGAUGUAUAUAUAAAAAGUCCAAGGUUUUACUGCUUUUUUACUGUAGUAGUUGAGUCAAGUUGAGAGGUAUUAAAUAAAUACUUAAUUAAAUACAUAAUAAGUAAUUAAUUCCCUGAUAAUGCAAAGUAAAAAUGGGUUAACCGGUUUUACCCUACGUUACAGGCCGGAGGUUCCUCAACAUCAUGUGGAUGUCCAGGAGCAACUUUCAGUGUGAUUUGGGUUUGUGCCAUGGCCAGUGAAGACAUGUCCUCAGAAACGCUGAGAUUUCCCAUUCCUGAUGUAGAUCCAUGAAUUGUUGCUCAACAUUUCUUUUUGAAUCGAAGGUACCGCUGUGGUUCUCCCCAAUGGAGGCAGAACACAUGAGAGAAAUCCCAAGAGAAAGGUGGCUGACUUAUAGACAAAUAUUAAAAAUGGAAAAUCAAGAAAUAAGUCUCAAAACACAUGAAGAGAUCAAACAAAUAGAACCGUCAAUGACAUAGCUGAACUACUGGCAAUUGAAGGAAAGUUUUAUAGAGGAUAAAAAGGAUUCGAAAAAAAGGACACAUGUUGGGAUAAAAUACUAAAAAUAGAAACUAAACUAAUUAAAAUAUUAUAUCAGCAACUGCUAGUAUGGGAGACAACAGAAGAACAAGUCAAGGAGGUGAUGAUAAAAUGGGCUCAGGAUGUAGGCCAUACGAUAAACCUGACAGAAUAGGAAGAGACAUGGAAGAAGAAACAAAAAUAUACAUAUGCUGCCGAGUUGAAGGAAAAUUGGUACAAGAUGUAUUUUAGGUGGUAUCUUACACCGGAAAGGCUAGCUAGAUUCAGUAAAGGAAAUGGUAAUGGGAAAUUUUGAAAAUGUGAAAAACACAAAGGAGACUUCAUACAUAUGUGGU
rnacentral:lncRNA from 1 species